GAUAGCACAGAAGCAGAGACUUUAAGUCUAAACAGACCUAGAUUCAGAGCAGACCCGAUGCUGCUUGAAGAAGGCUGGAGGUAUGUUAAGGAGACAAGGGCUGUCAAGAAGCAGGGAUGUCUCUGGAAAGGUUCUCCUUGCUGCUGCCAUGUGAAGAAAGACAUGUUUCCUUCCCCUUCUGCCAUAAUUGUGAGUUUCCUGAGGCCUCCCUACCCCUGAGGAACUUCCUCCUUUCUGACCAUAAGUACAAUUAUAUUCGAACAAAGAAGGCUGGGAGGUACAGACAAGGAAUAAUGAAUUACCAAUACCUUCAUAAAAAAAGAACUAUUUGGAUUUUUCUUAAAAUACAAGUGACGUUAUUGAAUGGACAAAUUUCCCUUUUCGUUGGAAAAAGAAAUGGUACUGGACCCUUUCUAGAGACACAUGUAAGUAGAGAAGCACAGAUCCAGCAUAACUGAUGACAGAGGUUGUAAAAGACAUCAGAUCCCAACUUG
rnacentral:lncRNA from 1 species